CAAUGAGUAGCAUAAUAUGGUGUUCGAUAUUUUUAAGGGAUCUGUCUAGCAGCUGUGAGAUAUUCUUGAGCAUGGUGUAACAACCAUUGCUUUUCAUGGGGAACUAAUAGUAGAAUUUAUUAGUAUCAAAAUCAAACUGAUAAAUGAGAGAAACUGCUUACUAUAUGCACGAAAAUGCCGAUCGUAUACCAAAGGAACGCAAUCAUAGAUCUCGUCGAAAAAGUUGAAAAACCUUGAGACAUCAAUAGAUUCCUUUUCGCUGACUGCUAAACAUAAACGUCAGUCUAAUGCAAGUUUUCAUACGGUAAAGCUGAGUUUUCAAUCCGGGACUUGGGAAAACAUAGUUCAUCGUCACUGAAAUUUCCAACCAAAAAAGAAAAACAAAAAUCGUACGUACCUUGAUUUGUUUGGUAAACACCGACUAUAUCUAAUAUCACGUUAACAAAUGAUUUCCAAUAAGUAGCGCAUCCUCUACAAGGAGGACGAAAGAUAAUAUUCAUACACUCAAUAGCAGAACGCAAGCUGCAAUGGUCGCUCCAUAUACGAGUUUUUGGAUCCGACUGAUUAGGAGUUAGUGAAAUCUUUAAUUAUCC